ACUUUCUGUCCCGCUGUUUUAUGGGGAAGGCGGGGGAAGACACGCAGACAUCAAUUCGACUAAACAAAGUUUAUCAAUAAUAUUAAAAAUAAAAAGUAAAGCCCCUUUCUGAACAUUAUGGCUUAUUCCUUGAUUAUCCUUCUUAAUGCCACAGCGUGGCUAUCUCAGAACAAAAUUAGAGACUAACAGUAAAUUUACUUUAAUUUUUACGAAUAAUUCUCUAUCAAUGUAAAAAUUUUUCAUAUACGCGUGUAUGAAAGAAAAACACUACUAUUUUUCCACAUUCGUGAAAACUGCUUAACUGGGACAGUAACCGAGCGGCCAGUGAAUAUUUAAAAUACUGUAACCGACGAAUACGUAUGCUUCUAGGACCACGUGGAAUCUUUCCCAUGGAUUUCACCAUGUUGCCCAGGCUGGUCUCAAAACUUCUGAAUUCAAGCAGUCCGCCCGCCUCUGCCUCCCAAACUGUUGAGAUUACAGGCGUGAGCCACCGCACCCAGCCUCAAGAAUGUCUUAAAUAAUUAACUUUCUCCAGGUAAGAAGACCACUGGCCAUGGACUGGUUCUGGCUGGUCUACAGAGGUCGCACAUUUGCAUGGCUUCAUGUCCUGAAAGACCUUUUGACGUAUAGGGCUCGUAAUACAUUUAAAUGUUAAGUCUUGGCUGGGUGUGGUGGCUCACGCCUGUAAUCCCAGCACUUUGGGAGGCCCAGGUGGGAAGAUCACGAGGUCAGGAGCUUGAGACCAGCCUGGCCAACAUGGGGAAACCCCAUCUCUACUAAAAAUACGAAAAUUAGCCAGGCGUGGGGGCAGGUUCCUGUAAUCCCAGCUACUCAGGAGGCUGAGGCAGGAGUAUCGCUUGAAACCGGGAAGUGGAGGUUACAGUGAGCUGAGAUCACAUCGUUGCAGUCCAGCCUGGGUGACAGAGCAAGACUCCGUCUGAACAACAACAACAAAAAAGUUAAGUCUCCAUCCCAAAGUGAAUAUGGGUCAUAUGUUACAUGAGUUUUUGUUCAAUACGCAUGUGUCAGGACCACUUUCAUGAAUAUUCAUAGCUCUUCCUGUAACCUGGUGAAAAUGUAGGUUUAGCCAACCUGUUCAGCCUGAACUACACUCCAAGCCCUCCUCCUUCAAAGCGCCUGUUUCUGGAGGCACGCUUCCCAGCCUGCAGGAUGGCCACCUUGCAGGCCAUAAAGUCUCCCCUUCUUUUCUAAAUUUAUUCAUUGUGGGGCUUUUUAAUAUAUACAUUUUUAAAAGAGAGAGAGAGACAGAGUCUCGCUUUGUUGCCCGGGCUGGUCUCAAACUCCUAGGCUCAAGCUAUCCUUCUGCCUCAGCCUCCCAAAGUGCUGGGAUUACAGGCAUGAGCCACCGCACCCAGCCCAUUGUUGGGCUUUUUUAAGUUAACGCUUGGUAUAUGUUAUAAAUACCUUCUCCCAGGUUGACACUUGUCGUCUUUGUUUACGGUGAUUUGUUCUCUAGAUUUUAAUUUCAAUGUAGUCAAAUUUAUCAAUCUGUUGUUAUGAUAGCUGACUUGUAGCUUUCUUAAGAAAUCCUUCCCUCUCCUGAGGUCACUAAGAUUUUCAUUUUCAUUUUCAUAGUUUUAUAGUUUUGUUUUUCACAUCUUUUUUUUUCUAUUUGGCUAUUAUUGGGGUAUAGCAACACUGUGGAUUUUUGUACAGCAAUCUUGUACCAAAAACCUUGUUGAAUUCUGUUAUUCUAGUAUUUUGUCUGUGCCAGGAACAGUGGUACACACCUGUAAUCCCAGCUUCUUGAGAGGCUGAGGCAGGAGGAUUGCUUGAACCCAGGUGUUCAAGGCUAGCCUGGGCAAUAUAGCAAGAUUCUGUCUCUAAAAAAAAAAAUCAUAUUAUGGUAGAUGGAAACUAGUAUGUGAUAAAAUAAAAAUGACUUUAAAAAAAUUUGUCUAAAGUUCUUUAGGAUUUUUUAUUUAGCAGAACAUUAUGCAAA
rnacentral:lncRNA from 1 species